CCUACGGGGGGCAGCAGUGGGGAAUAUUGCACAAUGGGGGAAACCCUGAUGCAGCAACGCCGCGUGAGCGAGGAGGGCCUUCGGGUCGUAAAGCUCUGUCCUAAGGGAAGAAUACUGACGGUACCUUAGGAGGAAGCCCGGGCUAACUACGUGCCAGCAGCCGCGGUAAUACGUAGGGGGCUAGCGUUAUCCGGAAUUACUGGGCGUAAAGGGUGCGUAGGCGGCCCUUCAAGUCAGAGGUGAAAGGCUACGGCUCAACCGUAGUAAGCCUUGGAAACUGUAGGGCUUGAGUGCAGGAGAGGAGUGUGAGAUUCCGAGUGUAGCGGUGAAGUGCGUAGAGAUUGGGCGGAGGACCAGUUGCGAAGGCGGCUCUCUGGACUGUAACUGACGCUGAGGCACGAAAGCGUGGGGAGCGAACAGGAUUAUAUACCCUUGUAGUC
rnacentral:rRNA from 1 species